AGUGUCGCUGGCCGCAUAAAAUAACCUAGGCAGUAUCUCUCCGCUUCUAUCUUCUGAAAGAGACUGAAAAAAAGUGGUAUCAUUUCUUCUUUAAGGGUAUGGUAGCAUUAACCAAUAAACCCAUCUGAGCCUGGUGCUUUCUGAUUUGGAAGGUUAUUAUUUAUUGGUUUCACCUCCAUUUUUAGAGCCCAGCUUGUCAACAGCGGAGGCCAUUGUGGAGCCCCAUGGGAAGAAUCACAUUGUAUCAUGUUUUCAUGGAAAGGGCAGCAAUACAUCUUCUAGCAGGUUGAACCAAGGGCAAACAACAGGAGAAAAUAAAAAUGAAGAGAAGGGUAAAGUCAGUUA